rnacentral:rRNA from 1 species
AAGCACUGCUACCAACCACACCACACUACUCCUACAUUUCUCACGCGCAAAUCGUCUCCUGCUUCCUUUCUUUCUUCCCCUCCGUCCACUCAUAGCUUCUGCUCUUCGAAUCGACCCUCCAAAAUCCAUGGCGACGCUCGCCGUGCCGCCUACCGCCGCCGCCCUGCCCGCCCAGGAAGACCCACGCACCAGCGAGAAGCCAUCUGCCGGCGACUCUGCUGCGGAUCCGAGCGAUAUCGACUCCGGGUGGGUUUUCCUCGGGAAGUCUGAUGUGGUUCCGGCGGACCAGGCCGCGGCCGCCGUCGACGCCGCGGGCCGCCGACGCCUCGGCUUCUCGCCGCUGCCGAUGUUACCUAUCUGGGUGCAGAUGGUGCUCGGAGGCGUAGUCUACACGGCCGUGCCGUUCUACAAGAGGGCCAGGCAGAUGGAAGACAAGGCGAUCGAAAACGUGGAAACUGCUUUGGACGUUUUGGAGCGGGCCUCCGAGGUGACGGAGAAGUUCGCUGCUAAUGUGGCCAAUUCCCUACCGGAGGAUGGGUCCCUGCACAAGUUGGCCGAGGAGCUUGAGUACAUUGCGGAGGAAGUCGAUAAGGAUGCACACAAGGCUGAAGUCAUGAUUAAGAAGAUUGAAGCGCUCAGCGACAAGAUCGACGCCGCGGUGGAGCCUGUCAUCGAAAACCUCGAGGAGGAGUUCAAGCCAAACCCAGCAUCCCACGCUGGAUCAGACGCCGAGAAAUGACCGUUCACAUAAAUUGGAGGAAAACACGGCCCAAAGUGUCCCCUGUUGUACAUAUAUUGCUGUUUUUUCUUUCCUUCUUUCUAAGUGCCAACUUGUAAAUAUGUUCGUUGUGCCCUAUGAACUAGAAGGACCCCAUGGUUACAGUAAGAAAUGGUGGUGGUGUGCUUGGUGCCCGGAUCUGAAGCACCUUGUGAUCAUGAUAAUAUUAAGAACACUGCAUCUGAAGAAUGGAUGUGUAUGUGUGUUGCACUGUAUUUCCACCC